CCACAGAAUGCUGGCUAGGAACAUUUUUUCUGGGGCAUCUUUAGGAAAAAGAUCCUGUCAAUAAAACCAGACCAGAUUUAUAGACUGACUGCACAGCCCAGGAAAGGACUGGAAUGCUCAACAGGGAAUGAGAUCACCAGAAAUGAGCCCAGGAACAUCCAGAGCUCACAGGAGAGGACACAGAAGGUGCUCAAAACAGUGAUAGGACAAGGGGGAAUGACCUUAAGGUGUAGGAGGGGAGAUUUUGG
ensembl:lncRNA